rnacentral:rRNA from 1 species
GACAGAGGGUGCAAACGUUGCUCGGAAUUACUAGGCGUAAAGCGCGUGUAGGCGGGUUUCCAAGUCAGAUGUGAAAUCCCCGGGCUCAACCCGGGAACUGCAUUUGAAACUGGGAGUCUUGAGUAUCGGAGAGGAAAGCGGAAUUCCUGGUGUAGAGGUGAAAUUCGUAGAUAUCAGGAGGAACACCGGUGGCGAAGGCGACAUCCUGGACCGGUAUUGACGCUGAGGCGCGAAAGCCAGGGGAGCAAACGGG